AACGAACGCUGGCGGCAGGCUUAACACAUGCAAGUCGAACGCCCCGCAAGGGGAGUGGCAGACGGGUGAGUAACGCGUGGGAACGUACCCUUUACUACGGAAUAACUCAGGGAAACUUGUGCUAAUACCGUAUGUGCCCUUCGGGGGAAAGAUUUAUCGGUAAAGGAUCGGCCCGCGUUGGAUUAGCUAGUUGGUGGGGUAAAGGCCUACCAAGGCGACGAUCCAUAGCUGGUCUGAGAGGAUGAUCAGCCACAUUGGGACUGAGACACGGCCCAAACUCCUACGGGAGGCAGCAGUGGGGAAUAUUGGACAAUGGGCGCAAGCCUGAUCCAGCCAUGCCGCGUGAGUGAUGAAGGCCCUAGGGUUGUAAAGCUCUUUCACCGGUGAAGAUAAUGACGGUAACCGGAGAAGAAGCCCCGGCUAACUUCGUGCCAGCAGCCGCCGUAACAC
rnacentral:rRNA from 1 species